rnacentral:rRNA from 1 species
GUUAUAUGCUAUUCAAUUCUAUAUAUCUGGUUUCUUAAUAAUUAAAUUUAAUUUAGGAUUAAAUUUUAAAUAUAUUAUAUACUUUAAUUUAUGAUAUAUAAUUUAAUCUAAAAUUUAUGGGGAUAAGCUCGUAAAUUUAUUUAUAGUUUUAAAUUGUGUUUUAAGUUUUGUAGGAUUAAAAAUUUCUAUCAUUUAUUUUGUUAUAAUUAAACUUAAAUUAAAAUUUAUUUAAAUAAAACUUAAAUGAAUAUUAAGAAUAAUUAAGUAAUUAUUAUUUAAUUGUAAUAAUGAUAAAAUUAGUAGAUCAUGUUAAUUAAUAUAUAGUAAUUCGGCAAAAUUGUUCUUCACCUGUUUAACAAAAACAUGUCCUGAUGUUUAUAUUAUAUUAGGUCUAACCUGCUCAAUGAUAAUUUAAAUAGCCGCAGUAUUUUGACUGUGCGAAGGUAGCAUAAUCAUUUGUCUUUUAAUUGAAGGCUUGUAUGAAAGGUUGGAUGAGGGAACAGCUUUCUUUAUAUUAAAUAUUGAAUUUAAUUUUUAGGUUAAAAAGCUUAAAUUUUUAAAAGGGACGAGAAGACCCUGUAGAAUUUUAUUAUUAUUAUAAUAUUUAUAUAUUGGCUAUUAUAAUAUUGAUAUUACAUAUAUAAUUUUGUUGGGGUGAUAGUGAGAUUUUUUUAACUCUUAUAGUUUAUUUAUUGUUAAUUAGCAUAUUUAUGAUCCUAUUUUAUGGAUAAUUAGAUUAAAUUACCUUAGGGAUAACAGCGUAAUUUUUCUGGAGAGUU